rnacentral:misc_RNA from 1 species
GAUGAAGAACGCAGCGAAAUGCGAUACUUGGUGUGAAUUGCAGAAUCCCGUGAACCAUCGAGUCUUUGAACGCAAGUUGCGCCCGAAGCCAUUAGGCCGAGGGCACGCCUGCCUGGGCGUCACACGUCGUUGCCCCCCCAUCUACUCCUUCGGGAUUGCGGGGGGCGGAUGAUGGCCUCCCGUGCGCCUCGUCGCGCGGUUGGCCUAAAUGCCAAGUCCUCGGCGACGCACGCCACGACAAUCGGUGGUUGCGAAACCUCGGUUGCCUGUCGUGUGCGGUCGUCGCGCAUCGAGGGCUCGAAAAAAUUGCCGGGCUUCGGCUCGACUUUCAACGCGACCCCAGGUCAGGCGGGGUUACCCGCUGAAUUUAAGCAUAUCAAUAAGCGGGGA